UACGUAGGGGGCGAGCGUUGUCCGGAGUUACUGGGCGUAAAGGGUGCGUAGGCGGCGCGGUAAGUCGGGUGUGAAAUCUCGGAGCUUAACUCCGAAACUGCAUUCGAUACUGCCGUGCUUGAGGACUGGAGAGGAGACUGGAAUUUACGGUGUAGCGGUGAAAUGCGUAGAUAUCGUAAGGAAGACCAGUGGCGAAGGCGGGUCUCUGGACAGUUCCUGACGCUGAGGCACGAAGGUCAGGGGAGCAAACGGG
rnacentral:rRNA from 1 species